rnacentral:lncRNA from 13 species
ACAAAGGGAUGUAAAAAUAUAUGCUUCAAUUUUUACCAAGAAGUGUAUUAAAAUUUGUGAUACCUGUCAUCUCUGCUCUACAAGGUGUUCAGGAGUCUAAAAAGGAAGCAAAUCCUCCACACAUUACAAAUUACAAUAACGCAUAUAAAUUUGCUCUGUAGCAAGUAGAAUAUUGAAGCAUGUGAGGCAUCUCCUGUGGAUUACUUGCCUUAUCACCUUUCUCUACUGGAUUGACAAGUCUAGAAGCUUAAAGCCCUAUUUUCCAGGCUCUUUGUGGCCACAGUUCUGGAAGUGAAUUUCAUUACGUAAUUGAAUACUCAUAUAGGGUUUUAAAGGGAAGUUCUUUCUCUUGCCUGCUCCAAUAUUUCUACAGGCAAAUGAAAGCAUGGAGAUCCACAUACCAAGAGGAUAUUGCAGCUUUCCAAAGUCUAUUCACCAGAUUCAUGUGUAGCUGUGGGAGCAACAAUAGAGUUGGAAGCUGUGGAACAUUUUAGCCCCACUAGUUUCUGUGGCUCCCUGUAGUUACUUCACUCCCACUGAGUCACACUUCCCAAUAACUUUUCUAAGCAUAACAUUCCCUGUAUUUAAUCUUUUAAGCUUAACAGAUUUCUGCUUUUUACACUGAACUCGCAUUAAUACAGUAGAAAUGACAUAUAACCAAAAUAUAGAAAAAAAUUAAGCUUUCAUAUUAAAAAAUCUGAAUAUAUAUAAAAAAUAAUGCAAUAUAUAAUAAAAAUAAAUAACUGAAAAUUAUUAAAAUACUA